rnacentral:rRNA from 1 species
GAGCAACAGGGAUGCCCUAGUAACGGCGAGUGAAGCGGCAACAGCUCAAAUUUGAAAUCUGGCGCAAGCCCGAGUUGUAAUUUGUAGAGGAUGCUUCGGCGUCGGCCCCGGUCUAAGUUCCUUGGAACAGGACGUCCUAGAGGGUGAGAACCCCGUCUUCGAUCGGGUCGCCGUCGCCAUGUGAAGCUCCUUCGACGAGUCGAGUUGUUUGGGAAUGCAGCUCUAAGCGGGAGGUAAAUUUCUUCUAAAGCUAAAUAACGGCCAGAGACCGAUAGCGCACAAGUAGAGUGAUCGAAAGAUGAAAAGCACUUUGGAAAGAGAGUUAAAAAGUACGUGAAAUUGUUGAAAGGGAAGCUCAAGCUGCCAGACUUGGCCGCGCCUCUUCGGUGGCGCGGGCAGGCCAGCAUCAGUUCGGGCCGCCUGAUAAAGACCUUUGGAAUGUAGCUCCCUCGGGAGUGUUAUAGCCUUGGGUGUAAUGGGGUGAGCCUGGACUGAGGAUCGCGUUCGCUAGGAUGCUGGCGUAAUGGCAGUUUGCGACCCGUCUUGAAACACGGACCAAGGAGUCUAACAUCUGUGCGAGUGUUUGGGUGUAAAACCCAUGCGCGUAAUGAAAGUGAACGGAGGUGGGAAGCGCAAGCUGCACCAUCGACCGAUCCUGAUGUCUUCGGAUGGAUUUGAGUAAGAGCAUAGCUGUUGGGACCCGAAAGAUGGUGAACUAUGCCUGAAUAGGGGUGAAGCCAGAGGAAACUCUGGUGGAGGCUCGCAGCGGUUCUGACGUGCAAAUCGAUCGUCAAAUUUGGGUAUAGGGGCGAAAGACUAAUCGA